UACGUAGGUGGCAAGCGUUGUCCGGAUUUACUGGGCGUAAAGAGCGCGCAGGCGGUCAGAUAAGUCGAAUGUGAAAGCCCCCGGCUCAACUGGGGAAGGUCAUUCGAUACUGUUCGGCUUGAAGAUAGGAGAGGGAAGCGGAAUUUCAGGUGUAGUGGUGAAAUGCGUAGAUAUCUGAAGGAACACCAGUGGCGAAGGCGGCUUUCUGGCCUAUUCUUGACGCUGAGGCGCGAAAGCUAGGGGAGCGAACGGG
rnacentral:rRNA from 1 species